rnacentral:rRNA from 1 species
GACGUAGGGCGCGAGCGUUGUCCGGAUUUAUUGGGCGUAAAGAGCUCGUAGGCGGCUUGUUGCGUCAGCUGUGAAAACCCGCAGCUCAACUGUGGGCUUGCAGCUGAUACGGGCAGGCUUGAGUUCGGUAGGGGAGACUGAAAUUCCUGGUGUAGCGGUGAAAUGCGCAGAUAUCAGGAGGAACACCGUAGUGCGAAGGCAGGCUC